rnacentral:rRNA from 1 species
AUUGAACGCUGGCGGCAGGCCUAACACAUGCAAGUCGAACGAGUGGCGGACGGGUGAGUAAUGUCUGGGAAACUGCCUGAUGGAGGGGGAUAAAUACUGGAAACGGGAGCUAAUACCGCAUACCAUCAGAUGUGCCCAGAUGUGAUUAGAUGGUUGGUGGUGUAACGGCUCACAAAGGCGACGAUCCCUAGCUGGUCUGAGAGGAUGACCAGCUAUACUGGAACUGGGCAACGGUCCCGACUCCUACGGGAGGCAGCAGUGGUGAAUAUUGCACAAUGGGCGCAAGCCUGAUGCAGCCAUGCCGCGUGUAUUAAGAAGGCCUUCGGGUUGUAAAGUACUUUCAGCGGGGCGGCGUUGCCCGCCGAAGAAGCACCGGCUAACUCCGUGCCAGCAGCCGCGGUAAUUC